CCUACGGGUGGCAGCAGUGAGGAAUAUUGGUCAAUGGACGCAAGUCUGAACCAGCCAUGCCGCGUGCAGGAAGACGGCUCUAUGAGUUGUAAACUGCUUUUGUACGAGGGUAAACGCAGAUACGCGUAUCUGUCUGAAAGUAUCGUACGAAUAAGGAUCGGCUAACUCCGUGCCAGCAGCCGCGGUAAUACGGAGGAAUCAAGCGUUAUCCGGAUUUAUUGGGUUUAAAGGGUGCGUAGGCGGUCGGAUAAGUUAGAGGUGAAAUCCGGAGGCUCAACUUCGGAAUUGCCUCUGAUACUGUUCGUCUAGAGAGUAGUUGCGGUAGGCGGAAUGUAUGGUGUAGCGGUGAAAUGCUUAGAGAUCAUACAGAACACCGAUUGCGAAGGCAGCUUACCAAGCUACUUCUGACGUUGAGGCACGAAAGCGUGGGGAGCAAACAGGAUUAGAUACCCCAGUAGUC
rnacentral:rRNA from 1 species